AUCAUCUAUUGGAUCUUUUGUGUGUCAGUUUCAUCUGUAUCUACAUCUUGGUCAUCUGGAUUUCCUUAGUGCAACCUUUUGAAAACUGUCAUCAGUUUAACAAUCCUUUUAUCUCUUUGAACACCAGCCUGUUAUCUUGGAUCAAUAUCAUUUUCUUGGCUGCUAUGUCAGUUGCAUCAUUUCCAUCCACACACCAAUCAUAGAUCUUUCACAAAGAUUUCUCAAUAUUCAGGUCUUUCUUGCAUUGUCUUAGCCUGAUUUUGAAUCCACUUCAUCCUACUUUUUUGUAGAUCAGAAUAUACCACUUUCUUACACCUAACACUAACCACAAGGGUUUCUUAACCAAUCCUAACCGAACUGCUCAAGCAACAAAUCAUUUCUUAAAGCAUUUAAGAAAAAUUGACUAAACCAUGUCUACCCUUAAGUCAAACUUAAUUGUAAAUAACAACCUUCCCUUAAACUUAACCCUAAAACCAGAUGUUUUGUAACUGAAGAACAUUACAUAAUUUAACACAUCCUAAAAAAAAAUCUGGUCAAAUAUCAAGUUGAGAACAUUACCUCUACUAAACUUUACCUCAAAUAAACUGAUUUAGUAGUUAAUUAUUAAUAUAUUAAUAUAUUAUAAAAUAGCGAACUAGGGGUAGAGCGAACUAGGGGUAGAGCGAACUAGGGGUAGAGCGAACUAGGGGUAGAGCGAACUAGGGGUAGAGCGAACUAGGGGUAGAGCGAACUAGGGGUAGAGCGAACUAGGGGUAGAGCGAACUAGGGGUAGAGCGAACUAGGGGUAGAGCGAACUAGGGGUAGAGCGAACUAGGGGUAGAGCGAACUAGGGGUAGAGCGAACUAGGGGUAGAGCGAACUAGGGGUAGAGCGAACUAGGGGUAGAGCGAACUAGGGGUAGAGGGUUAGGGUUAGGGUUAGGGUUAGGGUGAAGAAAAAUCCAGAGGUUGGACUGAGUCCAUCCCCGGUUAUGCACGGUCCAUCGACAUCAACUGCCCGCCACGCCCGCGGCGUCCGGGUCGGCCGAACGGAUCCGAACGACAUCGAGAAAGGCCAGCGUCAGCCCGCAACACAACCAAAUUGCUGUGAAAAAAUUACCCACCUAGUUUUAGCUGGAGACUCAUUUCCCCGACAUCGAUGGAUCCGCCGGCGUUCCCGUCCGCAGCAGGCGAGGUGCAGAGCUGGAGGCACUGGCUGGGUUAGGGUGAAGAAAAAUCCAGAGGUUGGACUGAGUCCAUCCCCGGUUAUGCACGGUCCAUCGACAUCAACUGCCCGCCACGCCCGCGGCGUCCGGGUCGGCCGAACGGAUCCGAACGACAUCGAGAAAGGCCAGCGUCAGCCCGCAACACAACCAAAUUGCUGUGAAAAAAUUACCCACCUAGUUUUAGCUGGAGACUCAUUUCCCCGACAUCGAUGGAUCCGCCGGCGUUCCCGUCCGCAGCAGGCGAGGUGCAGAGCUGGAGGCACUGGCUGGGUUAGGGUGAAGAAAAAUCCAGAGGUUGGACUGAGUCCAUCCCCGGUUAUGCACGGUCCAUCGACAUCAACUGCCCGCCACGCCCGCGGCGUCCGGGUCGGCCGAACGGAUCCGAACGACAUCGAGAAAGGCCAGCGUCAGCCCGCAACACAACCAAAUUGCUGUGAAAAAAUUACCCACCUAGUUUUAGCUGGAGACUCAUUUCCCCGACAUCGAUGGAUCCGCCGGCGUUCCCGUCCGCAGCAGGCGAGGUGCAGAGCUGGAGGCACUGGCUGGGUUAGGGUGAGGAAAAAUCCAGAGGUUGGACUGGGUCCAUCCCCGGUUAUGCACGGUCCAUCGACAUCAACUGCCCGCCACGCCCGCGGCGUCCGGGUCGGCCGAACGGAUCCGAACGACAUCGAGAAAGGCCAGCGUCAGCCCGCAACACAACCAAGUUGCUGUGAAAAAAUUACCCACCAAGUUUUAGGUAUGUGUGUAACGCUAAUUCAGCGUUUGGGUAGGGUUCGGGGUCUUAGGGUCCCUGGUCUUAGGGCUCUAGGCACUUGGGUUAAGUUUUAG
ensembl:lincRNA